rnacentral:rRNA from 1 species
UACGUAGGGUGCAAGCGUUGCCCGGAAUUAUUGGGCGUAAAGAGCUCGUAGGCGGUCUGUCGCGUCGGCUGUGAAAACUCGGGGCUCAACCCCGAGCCUGCAGUCGAUACGGGCAGACUAGAGUGCUGUAGGGGAGACUGGAAUUCCUGGUGUAGCGGUGAAAUGUGCAGAUAUCAGGAGGAACACCGGUGGCGAAGGCGGGUCUCUGGGCAGUAACUGACGCUGAGGAGCGAAAGCGUGGGGAGCGAACAGG